GACGAACGCUGGCGGCGUGCUUAACACAUGCAAGUCGAACGGAAAGGCCCGGUUUUUGUGGCGUGUGCAAGUGGCGAACGGGUGAGUAACACGUGAGUAACCUGUCCUUUACUUUGGGAUAACUUCAGGAAACUGGGGCGAAUACCGGAUAGGAGCUCCUGCUACAUGGUGGGGGUGGGAAAGUUUCGGCGGUUGGGGAAGGACUCGCGGCUUAUCAUCGUGUUGGUGGGGUAGUGGCUUACCAAGGCUUUGACGGGUAGCCGGCCUGAGAGGGUGACCGGCCACAUUGGGACUGAGAUGCGGGCAAGAGUGCUACGGGGGGCAGCAGUGGGGAAUAUUGCACAAUGGGCGGAGGCCGGAAGGAGCAACGCCGCGUGGGGGAUGACGGCCUUCGGGUUGUAACCCGCUUUCGCCUGUGACGCAGCGCGAGUGACGGUAAUGGGUAAAGAAGCACCGGCUAACUACGUG
rnacentral:rRNA from 1 species